rnacentral:misc_RNA from 1 species
AAAGUCGUAACAAGGUUUCCGUAGGUGAACCUGCGGAAGGAUCAUUAACAAGUUGAUGGGGGGCAUGGUUUUGUAUCAUGCCUCUACAUUUGCGCGCUCUUUGGAGCGUUGGGUGAUGGUGGGUGGUGGUUUGUGGUUUGUGAUUUGUGGUUUGUGGUUUGUGAUUUGUGAUCGGUGAUCACAUGAUCACAAAUCACAUGAUCACAUGAUUACAUGAACUGUGAUCACACAUUCACUAUCCCUCGAACAUUCACACGUUUGCUGGUUGUCUGUCAUCUCACACAAAAACACAACUUUUAACAAUGGAUCUCUUGGCUCUC